AGAGUGAACGCUGGCGGUAGGCCUAACACAUGCAAGUCGAACGGCAGCACAGUAAGAGCUUGCUCUUAUGGGUGGCGAGUGGCGGACGGGUGAGGAAUACAUCGGAAUCUACCUUCUCGUGGGGGAUAACGUAGGGAAACUUACGCUAAUACCGCAUAAGACCUUCGGGUGAAAGCCGGGGACCUUCGGGCCUGGCGCGGAUAGAUGAGCCGAUGUCGGAUUAGCUUGUUGGCGGGUAAAAGCCCACCGAGGCUACGAUCCGUAGCUGGUCUGAGAGGACGAUCAGCCACACUGGAACUGAGACACGGUCCAGACUCCUACGGGAGCAGCAGUGGGAAUUUUGGACAAUGGGCGCAAGCCUGAUCCAGCCAUGCCGCGUGAGUGAAGAAGGCCUUGGUUGUAAAGCUCGUUUCGGUGGGACGAAACGGUUCGUGACUAAGUACCACGGACUAAGUGACGGUACCGAAGAAGAAGCACCGGCUAACGUACGUGCCACGCAGCCGCGGUAAUCGUA
rnacentral:rRNA from 1 species